rnacentral:rRNA from 1 species
GUGAGGAAUUUUGGUCAAUGGGCGGGAGCCUGAACCAGCCAAGUCGCGUGAAGGAAGAAGGAUCUAUGGUUCGUAAACUUCUUUUGCAGGGGAAUAAAGUGCAGGACGUGUCCUGUUUUGUAUGUACCCUGAGAAUAAGGAUCGGCUAACUCCGUGCCAGCAGCCGCGGUAAUACGGAGGAUCCGAGCGUUAUCCGGAUUUAUUGGGUUUAAAGGGUGCGUAGGUGGUUUGAUAAGUCAGCGGUGAAAGUUUGCAGCUUAACUGUAAAAAUGCCGUUGAAACUGUCGGACUUGAGUGUAGAUGAGGUAGGCGGAAUGCGUGGUGUAGCGGUGAAAUGCAUAGAUAUCACGCAGAACUCCGAUUGCGAAGGCAGCUUACUAAGCUACAACUGACACUGAAGCACGAAAGCGUGGGGAUCAAACAGGAUUAGAUACCCGAGUAGUCC